rnacentral:sRNA from 1 species
UUCACUACACAAGGAACACCACACUCACUCAGGCAGGAGGAGACAUUGUGACUGGCUGUGGCUUCUGACCAGGGCACCUUGGGUAGGCCUUCUGGGCAUGCUCCAUGCCACCGGAAAUAAUCGGGAACUUUCAAGGGGGAGAGUUUAUUUGUCCAUGUAUUUUGAGACAGAUUUCUAUAUUUAUUUGAGAUGGUCCAGCUCUGCCUGGUCUCAAACGCUUAGAGAUCCUGCCUCCACAUGCCCAGCUCUUGGAUUAAAACUGUGUGCCACCACACCGGACUCAGGCUGGGGGGGGGCAGCCUGGGGCAGGGGUGACUGUUAAGGCACUAUGAAGAAUUUGUACAGAUACCAGAGAGAAGCCAUGUUUGCUGACUCAAGCCUGUGUUCUCCGAAUGACUAAGGCAGAAAAAAGAAGAAUUGCUGCAAGUUUGAGGAGGUGACACAUAGUCUUCAAGGGCCUGAAGGAUGCAGUGUGUUUCAUGCUGCUCCAGAGUUGGAAAGACAGUGGCCUUACCAGGUGAACCAGGCUGGUGGACCAAGUAACAGCACUCUACCUCCACAGGCUAUGAAAGCUGGUGAGCGGGGAGGGAGCCUCCAGCUCAUUCCAGCACGGCUGUCCUGUGACCAGUUUGUGGUGUCUUCUGCAUCAGGGCCUUGUCAUCCUCUUCCAGUGGGCAAAUAAGAACAAUGGCAUUAGCCUGACAGGAACCUGACAGUUAGGAGCCUAAUGAGGUCUCAUUUAGAUUAAAUCCGGGAUGGGUACAGCAUUGCACGGAUUCUGUGUCCGAUGGCCUUUGCAGGAAGUUUGCUUCGGAAUUUGGCACGAACCACACCACUGUUCCCAUGGGCCCGAUUUACCUUUCCCCAGAUCACUCUGGUUUUGUUUGGUUUGCCUCCAGGAGUCACUGUAUUGUUUUUUGUUUUGUACACACAAGCACACCUCUUGCCUAAGUAGAACUCAGUUUCAUCUCGGGUAUAAACACCUUCGAUUUCAAGGAGAGCCGUGUGUUCUCUUUGGUUCCAGAGGCCUCGCUUGUAGCCAGAAAAAUGGCCUCGCACCACAGCCUUGCACCACAGCCUUGCAGACAUUCUUGAUUUUCUUUUUUUAGAAGUCCUGUUCCUAGCAGGCCUCUGAGGGCACCAAGAUGGCGGAAAGAGAGCUGAUGUCUUCUUUAGGAACCAUGAAGUUUGUUAGUUUUAACUUUUUGGAGACUGGGUCUCACUAUGCAAACCUGGCUGGCCUGGAACUUCUCUUGUAAACCAGGCAGGCCCUGAACUCAUAGAGCGCCUUCAGCCUCUGCCUCCCGAGUGUGGGGAUCAAAGGCAUGGGCCACCGCACCUGCCUGACUCGACCAUUUUGAAGAUUCUUCUGCCUCCAUCUUUCGGUUAGAAUCGUUUAAUCAACUUACAUUUUGUAAAUACCGUUAGCAUUGACAUUUAGUAUUUUAUUAAGUGUUUUCCGUGUUUCAAAUGUUCUUAAUUUCCCUUACUAUUCCUUAUUCUGUCUUUUUCUACUAGAGAAUACAUAUCCCAUAGUCACAAUUAUUUUGCUUUCUUUUUAUGGAAUAAUAUUGGAUAGCUGUCUUAGUGAUUCCCCUUGUGGAACGGACAUCUUAAAACAAUCGAGUUUGAAUUAAUGUUGACUUAACUUAAACAAUUUGGAUAGAUUUUGCUCACUUAUGGCUUUAUAUUGUGCCCCUUUCAAACGCAGCAGCCGUAAAGUUCAUGUCCUCUUUUAUUGUAUUGCCAUCAGCAUAGUCUCCCUGUUAUUGUUUUCUAUGUUUGCCUUUUAAUUAGAAGAAGACAUUGACAACAGAGUGCUGUCUUUUUGUCUGUGUGUGACCUUUUAUUGUUACUAAUGUUUAGCUAUUUGAAAUUAGCAGUAUGUGUCCAGUUGUUUCAUUUCACUGUAAAAGGCUCCCUCUCAUACCUAUUUAUAAUAAAUAAUGUCUUGUGUUGCUUAAGAAAAAAGAAAAAGGUUCUCCUGCU